rnacentral:rRNA from 1 species
UCAGAGUUUGGAAUCAUGGCUCAGGACGAACGCUGGCGGCGUGCUUAACACAUGCAAGUCGAGCGAGCCCCACCUUUCGGGGUGGUGUGCUAGCGGCGAACGGGUGAGUAACACGUGGGCAACCUGCCCUCAGCUCUGGGAUAACUCCAAGAAAUUGGGGCUAAUACCGGAUAUGACUGCUGACCGCAUGGUCUGGUGGUGGAAAGAUUUAUCGGCUGGGGAUGGGCCCGCGGCCUAUCAGCUUGUUGGUGGGGUAGUGGCCUACCAAGGCGACGACGGGUAGCCGGCCUGAGAGGGUGACCGGCCACACUGGGACUGAGACACGGCCCAGACUCCUACGGGAGGCAGCAGUGGGGAAUAUUGCGCAAUGGGCGGAAGCCUGACGCAGCGACGCCGCGUGGGGGAUGACGGCCUUCGGGUUGUAAACCUCUUUCAGCAGGGACGAAGCGAGAGUGACGGUACCUGCAGAAGAAGCACCGGCCAACUACGUGCCAGCAGCCGCGGUAAUACGUAGGGUGCAAGCGUUGUCCGGAAUUAUUGGGCGUAAAGAGCUCGUAGGCGGUUUGUUGCGUCGGCUGUGAAAUCCCGAGGCUCAACCUCGGGUCUGCAGUCGAUACGAGCAAACUAGAGUGUUGCAGGGGAGACUGGAAUUCCUGGUGUAGCGGUGAAAUGCGCAGAUAUCAGGAGGAACACCGGUGGCGAAGGCGGGUCUCUGGGCAACAACUGACGCUGAGGAGCGAAAGCGUGGGGAGCGAACAGGAUUAGAUACCCUGGUAGUCCACGCCGUAAACGUUGGGCGCUAGGUGUGGGGCUCAUUCCACGAGUUCCGUGCCGCAGCUAACGCAUUAAGCGCCCCCGCCUGGGGAGUACGGCCGCAAGGCUAAAACUCAAUGAAAUUUGACGG